GCCUGAUAUGGCUCAGUUGGUAGAGCGCACCCUUGGUAAGGGUGAGGUCCCCAGUUCGACUCUGGGUAUCAGCACCA
rnacentral:tRNA from 1 species